GACGAACGCUGGCGGCGUGCCUAAUACAUGCAAGUAGAACGCUGAAGAGAGGAGCUUGCUCUUCUUGGAUGAGUUGCGAACGGGUGAGUAACGCGUAGGUAACCUGCCUUGUAGCGGGGGAUAACUAUUGGAAACGAUAGCUAAUACCGCAUAACAAUGGAUGACACAUGUCAUUUAUUUGAAAGGGGCAAUUGCUCCACUACAAGAUGGACCUGCGUUGUAUUAGCUAGUAGGUGAGGUAAUGGCUCACCUAGGCGACGAUACAUAGCCGACCUGAGAGGGUGAUCGGCCACACUGGGACUGAGACACGGCCCAGACUUCUACGGGAGGCAGCAGUAGGGAAUCUUCGGCAAUGGGGGCAACCCUGACCGAGCAACGCCGCGUGAGUGAAGAAGGUUUUCGGAUCGUAAAGCUCUGUUGUAAGUCAAGAACGGGUGUGAGAGUGGAAAGUUCACACUGUGACGGUAGCUUACCAGAAAGGGACGGCUAACUACGUG
rnacentral:rRNA from 1 species